ACAGGGGGUGCAAGCGUUAUCCGGAAUGAUUGGGCGUAAAGCGCCUGUAGGUGGUUUUUGAAGUCUACUGUCAAAUCCCAGAGCUCAACUUUGGACAGGCAGUGGAGCACUCAAAGGCUUGAGUUCGGUAGGGGUAGAGGGAAUUCCUAGUGGAGCAGUGAAAUGCACAGAGAUUAGGAGGAACACCAGUGGCGAAAGCGCUCUACUGGGCCGAAACUGACACUGAGAGACGACAGCUGAGGGAGCGAAUAGGA
rnacentral:rRNA from 1 species